GUGGUCACAAAAUUCAAUGUUCUGGGAGAAUUGGAAGCAGCUCCAUUUUUGGGAGAGCCCCUUACACAGCUCAAGGUCUGGGCCCCAGGGCCUGACGGUGAGUAUGCCCACAAGGCCCACUCAUAAGUCCACUUAUAUGUUCCACCCACCCAUGAGUUCGCUCACAGGGAGUGGAGUGUGUAGGGGAUGUGUUAUGUAUUAUUGUAGAGCAGGGGUUCUCAACGUUAGUCCUCAGGACCCCCUACCAGUCCAGGGUUUAGGGAUUACCUGGGUGUGUCUAAGGUGUUU